rnacentral:rRNA from 1 species
ACCAGACUCCUACGGGAGGCAGCAGUGGGGAAUAUUGCACAAUGGGGGGAACCCUGAUGCAGCGACGCCGCGUGGGCGAGGAAGUAUUUCGGUAUGUAAAGCCCUAUCGGCAGGGAAGAAGAAAUGACGGUACCUGAAUAAGAAGCACCGGCUAAAUACGUGCCAGCAGCCGCGGGAAUACGUAGGGGGCGAGCGUUAUCCGGAUUUACUGGGUGUAAAGGGAGCGUAGACGGUUAAUCAAGUCUGAAGUGAAAGCCCGCGGCUCAACUGCGGAACGGCUUUGGAAACUGAGUAACUGGAGUGCUGGAGGGGCAGGCGGAAUUCCUGGUGUAGCGGUGAAAUGCGUAGAUAUCAGGAGGAACACCGGUGGCGAAGGCGGCCUGCUGGACAGUAACUGACGUUGAGGCUCGAAAGCGUGGGGAGUAAACAGGAUUAGAUACCCUAGUA